rnacentral:rRNA from 1 species
AACGAACGCUGGCGGCAUGCCUAACACAUGCAAGUCGAGCGCCCGUAGCAAUACGGGAGCGGCGCACGGGUGAGUAGCGCGUGGGAACCUGCCCAGAGGUUCGGGACAACCGCGGGAAACUGCGGCUGAUACCGGAUGAUGCCUGAGGGCCAAAGAUUUAUCGCCUUUGGAGGGCCGCGUCGGAUUAGUAGUUGGUGAGGUAACGGCUCACCAAGCCUGUGAUCCGUAGCUGGUC